AUUGAACGCUGGCGGCAUGCCUUACACAUGCAAGUCGAACGGCAGCACGGGAGCAAUCCUGGUGGCGAGUGGCGAACGGGUGAGUAAUGUAUCGGAACGUGCCUAGUCGUGGGGGAUAACGCAGCGAAAGCUGUGCUAAUACCGCAUACGAUCUGUGGAUGAAAGCGGGGGAUCGCAAGACCUCGCGCGCUUGGAGCGGCCGAUAUCAGAUUAGAUAGUUGGGGGGGUAAAGGCGCACCAAGGCGACGAUCUGUAGCUGGGCUGAGAGGACGACCAGCCACACUGGAACUGAGACACGGUCCAGACUCCUACGGGAGGCAGCAGUGGGGAAUUUUGGACAAUGGGCGCAAGCCUGAUCCAGCAAUGCCGCGUGCAGGAUGAAGGCCUUCGGGUUGUAAACUGCUUUUGUACGGAGCGAAAAGGCUCUCUCUAAUACAGGGGGCUCAUGACGGUACCGUAAGAAUAAGCACCGGCUAACUACGUGCCAGCAGCCGCCGUAA
rnacentral:rRNA from 1 species